rnacentral:rRNA from 1 species
UACGAAGGGGGCUAGCGUUGCUCGGAAUCACUGGGCGUAAAGGGUGCGUAGGCGGGCCUUUAAGUCAGGGGUGAAAUCCUGGAGCUCAACUCCAGAACUGCCUUUGAUACUGAAGAUCUUGAGUUCGGGAGAGGUGAGUGGAACUGCGAGUGUAGAGGUGAAAUUCGUAGAUAUUCGCGAGAACACCAGUGGCGAAGGCGGCUCACUGGCCCGAUACUGACGCUGAGGCACGAAAGCGUGGGGAGCAAACAGG